AUGACCAUAUCUGUACUGUCAAAACCAGAGCAUGGCUGAUCUUUAAGACAUGGUGCCUGUUCCAUUCUUCUUGUCUAUAGCUUUAGUAUGUUGGCCACUUCAUACCUAGAGGCGUAAGUGUGUUCUAUAUUACUUUAUUUUUAGUUCUUAGGUGACACAUAAAGUAAUACUUUCCACUGUAGUGUUUUCACACACAUACUUAUCCUUUUACUGCCCCCCCCCACGUCCUUCUCACCCUUCUUUCCUCAAUGCUCCUUCCUCCUCAAGUAAUCCCUCCUUCUGUUCAUAUCACAUGGAUACACAUUCAUUCCCUGCUCCGGUCCCCUCUCGCCUUCCCUCCAGAUCACCUCUUCCCUGCUUAAAGUUCCCUUUCUGCCUUCCUGUGCACACACAUGCAUGCACAUGUACAUGUGCCCAGAUGUGUGUGUGCUUAACUAAAAGAGUUGGGUUAGGGAGGCAAAGGGUCAAUGGAAAGCCAAGUUAGGACAAAAUGAUGUGCGAUGUGUGUGUAUGUGUGUGUGUUGAUCACCUGCUGAUGGACCUCUAGGCUGGCCCCCUAUCUUGGCUGUUGUGAGCAUGCAGCAGUAAAUGCAACAUGCGUGUGCAUGCUGCCCUACGAUCCUUAGGAUGUAUCAGUCAGGAUUGUAUAUAAUAUUUUUAUUAGCUUUUUCUUUUUAGACCAUUUGCAUCCUUUCACUGUGUCCCUCUAAAUGUGGGAACACAGCCAAACUUAGUGACUACUAGGUUGGUUUAACAGACAACACCGUGAAGGUUUACUGAAUCAACUACCAAAUGGGUGUUCUCGGCCUGCUGGGUUUUCAGUUUUCAUCUCUGCCUGCACAAUUAAGGUAAUUGGGGAAGAAAGCAGCUUCAGAGAGCCCUGAGGUUUUGAAAUGAGCAAAGCAAUCAUAAUCAAACAUUUGCCCAGACCCUGGAACAACAAGCCUACAGGACACACAAAGGACAGUGUCUCAGACAUUGUGGUAUGCAUCUCUUCUGAUGUCUAUCUUUAUCUUCUCC
rnacentral:lncRNA from 1 species